rnacentral:rRNA from 1 species
UACGUAGGGUGCGAGCGUUGUCCGGAAUUAUUGGGCGUAAAGGGCUCGUAGGCGGUUUGUCGCGUCGGGAGUGAAAACCCGGGGCUUAACCCCUGGCUUGCAGUGGAUACGGACAGACUAGAGGUAGGUAGGGGAGAAUGGAAUUCCCGGUGUAGCGGUGAAAUGCGCAGAUAUCGGGAGGAACACCGGUGGCGAAGGCGGUUCUCUGGGCCCGUUACCUGACGCUGAGGAGCGAAAGCGUGGGGAGCGAACAGGAUA